rnacentral:rRNA from 1 species
UUGAUCCGAGCGAACAGAGAAGGAGCUUGCUCCUUUGACGUUAGCGGCGGACGGGUGAGUAACACGUGGGCAACCUACCUUAUAGUUUGGGAUAACUCCGGGAAACCGGGGCUAAUACCUUUGGACCGAAUAAGUUUCACCUCAUGGUGAAAUAUUGAAAGACGGUUUCGGCUGUCGCUAUAGGAUGGGCCGGCGCAUUAGCUAGUUGGUGAGGUAACGGCUCACCAAGGCGACGAUGGCCGACCUGAGAGGGUGAUCGGCCAUUUGAUCCACUGGGACUGAGACACGGCCCAGACUCCUACGGGAGGCAGCAGUAGGGAAUCUUCCACAAUGGGCGACCUGAUGGAGCAACGCCGCGUGAGUGAAGAAGGCGGUUCGUAAAACUCUGUUGUAAGGGAAGAACAAGUACAGUAGUAACUGGCUGUACCUUGACGGUACCUUAUUAGAAAGCCACGAACUACGUGCUUUAGGCCUCAGCAGCCGCGGUAAUACGUAGGUGGCAAGCGUUGUCCGGAAUUAUUGGGCGUAAAGCGCGCGCAGGUGGUAAGCCAUGGUUUCUUAACUGAUGUGAAAGCCCACGGCUCAACCGUGGAGGGUCAUUGGAAACUGAUUUGCCCCGGAGACUUGAGUGCAGAAGAGGAUAGUGGAAUUCCGUAGCGGUGAAAUGCGUAGAGAAUUUGCCAGUAUUUGGAGGAACACCAGUGGCGAAGGCGACUAUCUGUAACUGACACUGAGGCGCGAAAGCGUGGGGAGCAAACAGGAUUACCCUGGUAGUCCACGCCGUAAACGAUGAGUGCUAAGUGUUAGGGGGUUUCCGCCCCUUAGUGCUGCAGCUAACGCAUUAAGCACUCCGCCUGGGGAGUACGGUCGCAAGACUGAAACUCAAAGGAAUUGACGGGGGCGCACGGUGCCCAGUUCAGAGCAUGUGGUUUAAUUCGAAGCAACGCGAAGAACCUUACCAGGUCUUGACAUCCCGUUGACCACUGUAGAGAUAUGGCCCUUCGGGGGCAACAAUUGAUCGGCAGGUGGUGCAUGGUUGUCGUCAGCUCGUGUCGUGAGAUGUUGGGUUAAGUCCCGCAACGAGCGCAACCCUUGAUCUUAGUUGCCAUCAUUUAGUUGGGCACUCUAAGGUGACCGGUGACAAACCGGAGAAUUGAUCCGAAGGUGGGGAUGACGUCAAAUCAUCAUGCCCCGACCUGGGCUACACACGUGCUACAAUGGACGAUACAAACGGUUGCCAACUCGAGGGGGGACCGUAGCUAAUCCGAUAAAGUCGUUCUCAGUUCGGAUUGUAGGCUGCAACUCGCCUACAUGAAGCCGGAAUCGCUAGUAAGAUCAGCAUGCCGCGGUGAAUACGUUCCCGGGCCUUGUACACACCGCCCGUCUUUUUAGUACACCACGAGAGUUUGUAACACCCGAAGUCGGUGGUACCA